GGCACUACUAGAAGGUGUGGCCUUGUUGGAGUAGGUGUGUUACGAUGGGUGUGGGCUUAAGACCCUCAUCCUAGCUUCCUGGAAGUGAAUAUUCUGCUAGCAGCCUUCAGGCCCUGAUGGAAAAGGCCAUGGAUUGAUGGAAACUGCAAGGAAGAGAAUCCACUCAGCUCAGGAGAUAGAGGAAUUGGAAACAGUGAUUAUAGAGGAGAAGAACUCUGAAGUCCCUCCUUCCAUGCCUUCCUCAGUGCCCAGAGACCAGGAACUGGAGCCUAAGAUGACACACCUCUGUAGUCCCAUAAGGAAUCUUCCAGAGUUAACACCGAGCUGUGAUCUUCGCGAGUUCCCGCUAAAAGGCUGAACUAUCUACUUCUAAGGAACUUGCUUGGCCAGGGACGGGCCUCCCCUUUUCUUUAUAAAGCGUGUUUGCUGACAUUAAAAUUGAACCUUGAGC
rnacentral:lncRNA from 1 species